AACGAACGCUGGCGGCAUGCCUAACACAUGCAAGUCGAACGAGACCUUCGGGUCUAGUGGCGCACGGGUGCGUAACGCGUGGGGAUCUGCCCUUUGCUUCGGAAUAACAGUUAGAAAUGACUGCUAAUACCGGAUGAUGACCUCGGUCCAAAGAUUUAUCGGCAAAAGGAUGAACCCGCGUAGGAUUAGCUAGUUGGUGGGUAAAGGCCUACCAAGGCGACGAUCCUUAGCUGGUCUGAGAGGAUGAUCAGCCACACUGGGACUGAGACACGGCCCAGACUCCUACGGGAGGCAGCAGUGGGGAAUAUUGGACAAUGGGCGAAAGCCUGAUCCAGCAAUGCCGCGUGAGUGAUGAAGGCCUUAGGGUGUAAAGCUCUUUUACCCGGGAUGAUAAUGACAGUACCGGGAGAAUAAGCUCCGGCUAACUCCGUGCCAGCAGCCGCGGUAAU
rnacentral:rRNA from 1 species